GAUGAACGCUGGCGGCGUGCCUAAUACAUGCAAGUCGAGCGAACGGACGAGAAGCUUGCUUCUCUGAUGUUAGCGGCGGACGGGUGAGUAACACGUGGAUAACCUACUUAUAAGACUGGGAUAACUUCGGGAAACCGGAGCUACUACUGGAUAAUAUUUUGAACCGCAUGGUUCAAAAGUGAAAGACGGUCUUGCUGUCUCUUAUAGAUGGAUCCGCGCUGCAUUAGCUAGUUGGUAAGGUAACGGCCUACCAAGGCAACGAUGCGUAGCCGACCUGAGAGGAUGAUCGGCCACACUGGAACUGAGACACGGUCCAGACUCCUACGGGAGGCAGCAGUAGGGAAUCUUGCGCAAUGGGCGAAAGCCUGACGGAGCAACGCCGCGUGGGUGAUGAAGGUCUUCGGAUCGUAAAGCUCUGUUAUUAGGAAAGAAAAUCUGUGUGAUUAAAUGUGCACGUCUUGACGGUACCUAAUCAGAAAGCCACGGCUAACUACGUG
rnacentral:rRNA from 1 species